UACGUAGGGUGCAAGCGUUGUCCGGAAUUAUUGGGCGUAAAGAGCUUGUAGGCGGUUUGUCGCGUCUGCCGUGAAAAUCCGAGGCUCAACCUCGGACUUGCGGUGGGUACGGGCAGACUAGAGUGUGGUAGGGGAGAUUGGAAUUCCUGGUGUAGCGGUGGAAUGCGCAGAUAUCAGGAGGAACACCAAUGGCGAAGGCAGAUCUCUGGGCCGUAACUGACGCUGAGGAGCGAAAGCAUGGGGAGCGAACAGG
rnacentral:rRNA from 1 species